GCAGAGUAAGCCUGUGUGCGUUAAGUGUCAUACGAACGGGGAGUUGUCGUGUGAACGAAAAGUUUUCUUGCGGUACACAGACUGCAUCCCGCUG
rnacentral:ncRNA from 1 species